AUGAUUAAGAGGCCCCCUGCAGGGAUCCUAGAGGAGGAAGCAGAAGAGUCACAAGUCACCCAGGGGACAUGCAACAGUAAUAACUUACCAGCAUCAGCAAAAAGAGCAUGCGGGGGCCAGCCACCAGAUCAGUGGAGCAUAAUGUUUCCCAAUACUCACAUCACACCGCAGACUAAGGUACUCCUAUUCUACUGCCAGCCCCUUCGAUAACAUAAUUUGAAUUCACUCAUUGACAGGCACCCACAGGACAAAGGGGUGGAAGGAUUUAAGGUGCCCAAACAACUCCUGUAGAUCACCUAACCCAUAAUUUAGACAGUCACACCCCUGCUUAGCUUCUGUCCAGCUCUGGAGGUACUUGUGUUCUCCCUGGUAAAGCUCCCUAGGCUGCUUCCAGGCACGCCCACAGCUGACACCAUCCCGACAGUGCUAAGUGGCACACAUAAAGUUCAUUCUCUUGUCCAGGCACAAUCCCCAAAUUCACUUGUGAGGAUAUUCACAAGUCAGUACUUAGAAGAGAAAUCCCAGUUCUGCUUGAAAAAUCAAGACUUCUCCUGAGUUAAGAGGUCAUUGUCCUGAUGGACAGAGCCCCUGAGAGAGAACCGUGGGUUCCUCCUUGCCUCAGGGAGCCUUAGGAGAUACUGCCUGCAAGACAUCCACAAAGAGCUGUGCCACCUUACAGCCUUGGGUUGAGCAGCCCAACCACACAGCUUCUUCCUCAGCAUUUCCUAAUGGCUGCUGCUCCAUAUUCUGGCUUUGAUGGAGCCUAUUUUGUAAAAAAAUAAUUUUUACACACAUUCCUAGCCUAGGGUUUGGCAGUUCCCAGGGUGCUCCCUUCUUCAAAAGGUGUCAUCAUGACAGUCAACAUCCCUUAUGCACCAUCUGGAUUCUGAGCUGCUACAGAAGCAGUGGCUGAUGAAGCUAAGAAGGGAGCCCAAAAGGUGUGUCUUAUAGUCCUGCCUUUACCCACAGACAACACAUUCCCUUAAAACAGAUGUCCAACAGUUCUGCACACAGUGAUUGGGCUCAUCAGUGACCAUGCCAAGGGAGGAGGACAGGAGACAUGUCUAUAACCCAUCCUCACAAUUUCCUAUUUAACAGUAGUUAGUGUCUCCUCCAAUAAGCAAAUAGCAGCAAGUAAGAUGUUCUAUUAAGAGCACUGAGUUCUUACCACUGAGGAAGCAGGAAAACACAAAUCAAGAAAAAGAGAAGGAAAAAAAACAGUUUAAAAGCUGGAAGAAAAGUCAUCAUCAUGAGGUCCCAAGAGAGCUACAGAAAAUCCCUCAAGGUAAGAGAGGAAGGGAAGCUUCUGUAGCCCCAUCUAUGAUUCAAGGCUUGGUGUGCAGGGCCACCAUCUAACAAACACCCCUGAAGAGUAGCUGUGUCUCGAUCACUCAUUGGCAGCAGUCACAACUCACCCAAACGCUGUUCCGAACACGAAGCCGCCUGCGAGUCCCUGCAGGCCCAAGUGCAUUCUGAAAAUGGCUCCUGUGAGGGCUAAAAAAACCACAAACCCACUGAAACCACAAACAGCCCCCCACCAGCCAUCACAUACAGACAGAGGGAGAUGCUUUGCUGCACUUCUCCUCUCCGUGAGCUGACAUCUGCUUCUAACAGUACAGAAACCAAGUGCUGUGGCCAGCGGGAGGGACCCUCACCAUACAGUCACCACAGUCGCUGCACUAAAACAUUGCACAAAGCUCCUUCUGCUUCAGAAAAACUCCCCAAGAAAUGCUAAGAUGUAUCUAUGAAAGUAAAAUCCGAGCUCUCUCCAGGCUGGAGCAUGAUAUCCUUCCCCCUUUUCUUUUUUCUUAUUCAACAACAGCUAAUAAUAGUAGCUGCCAUGUAAGGCAGAAAAGAUCAGUAAAAACAUGUAUCCAACUGUAAGGGCAAUAAAGCCUGUAAAACUAAACA
rnacentral:lncRNA from 1 species